rnacentral:misc_RNA from 1 species
GAUGAAGAACGUAGCGAAAUGCGAUAAGUAAUGUGAAUUGCAGAAUUCAGUGAAUCAUCGAAUCUUUGAACGCACAUUGCGCCCCUUGGUAUUCCGAGGGGCAUGCCUGUUCGAGCGUCAUAUUAACCACUCCCGCUUGCGGGGUCUUGGGCUUCGCCUCCGGGCGGGCCUUAAAAUCAGUGGCGGUGCCGUCGGGCUCUACGCGUAGUAAAUUUUCUCGCGAUAGGGUCCCGGUGGAUGCUUGCCAACAACCCCCAACUUCUUAAGGUUGACCUCGGAUCAGGUAGGGAUACCCGCUGAACUUAAGCAUAUCAAUAAGCGGGAGGA